CAGGCCUAACACAUGCAAGUCGAACGGUAAGGCCCCUUCGGGGGUACACGAGUGGCGAACGGGUGAGUAACACGUGAGCAACCUGCCCUUGACUCUGGAAUAACAGUUGGAAACAGCUGCUAAUACUGGAUAUGCACUUAUCUUCUCCUGGGGGUGAGUGGAAAGCUCCGGCGGUCAGGGAUGGGCUCGCGGCCUAUCAGCUUGUUGGUGAGGUAAUGGCUCACCAAGGCUUCGACGGGUAGCCGGCCUGAGAGGGCGACCGGCCACACUGGGACUGAGAUACGGCCCAGACUCCUACGGGAGGCAGCAGUGGGAAUAUUGCACAAUGGGCGCAAGCCUGAUGCAGCAACGCCGCGUGCGGGAUGACGGCCUUCGGGUUGUAAACCGCUUUCAGUUCCGACGAAGCGAAAGUGACGGUAGGAACAGAAGAAGGACCGGCUAACUACGUGCCAGCAGCCGCGGUAAU
rnacentral:rRNA from 1 species